AUAACUUUAACAUGUAUCUAAAGGUGAAGGGAAGUGGUACAGGAACAUUGACUACUAUCGCCUGGAUGGUUCCACCAAUGCCACCACCAGGAAGAAGUGGGCUGAAGAGUUUAAUGACACCAGUAACACAAGAGGUCGUUUGUUCCUCAUUUCAACACGAGCUGGCUCUCUUGGCAUCAACCUGGUGGCAGCUAACAGGGUCAUCAUCUUUGACGCCUCUUGGAACCCCUCCUACGACGUCCAAAGUAUCUUCAGGGUCUAUCGCUUUGGCCAGAUUAGGACUGUUUACGUGUACAGGUUCCUGGCCCAGGGUACAAUGGAGGAGAAGAUUUAUGACCGGCAGGUAACCAAGCAGUCUUUGUCAUUCCGAGUGGUGGACCAGCAGCAGAUUGAGAGGCACUUUACAACGAACGAGCUGGCCGAGCUCUACACCUUUGAACCAGACAUGCUGGAUGAUCCCUCAGGGAAGAAGAGCAAGAAAGCCACGCCCUUGCUUCCUAAGGUGAGAACUAUCAUGC